UAGGAGAAGGCUUUAUUUUCUAGGCACCCCUUGCACCUGACUGCGCAGGCCCGGGACUCUCCGCCAAGGUCUCCUCCCAUCCCCAGAGAAAGGGCAGGGUGGGGAGAUCUGGGGAGGAUUUUGAGGGGCCGGAGGUCAGGCGCGGCCGGGGGAGGCUCUGAGGAGACAACACGGCCAGCGCGGCGCUCCUGCAGCCUCCACCGCCGCGGAGCUUCCUCCCCUGCUCCCGCCUUUCCGGGCGGGCCGGCGACGGGGAGGGCAAGCUUCCUGCGCCAGCUCCCCUGGCGCCUGCUGCCGGGCCCGUUGGUGGCCCCGCCCGAGAGCUGGCCGGGCCGCAAUGGGGCGGGUCGGGGCCUGGGACUGAGGCCGGCGCUGGGGUCGGGGCGGAGCGCGCCGCAGACUAGAGACCGGCCCCGCCCGGCAGCGCUGGGAGUCGCCCCCACCUCCCCACCGCGCGCAGCGGCCGCCGUUGCCAAGGAGACUGGGAUAGCAGAGGGGAAGUCGCCAAUGGCUACCUGGAUCGAGUCCCCUUUGUAUUUCGUUCACAUCACCCUUUUUUCUUCCACCGAGACACCGCUUUACUUGGCUACCGUCGGUGGCGCGGUGGUGGGCGUGUAAGAGGAGGUCUGCUUCCGCUGCCACCAUUACCUGUUUCUUCGAUGGUUAAGCUUGAGUAAAGGAAACUUCUGGGAACUGGCCAAAGACCCUCGACAUGCCCCCCGCAGAGGAAACAUCGCUAACGUCAUCUCUGCUUGUCCACUCUGUGCUUCAGUCAAGCCCAAGGCCAUCCCAGCGGCAAACUUUUGCUGCCCUCUCCCAGAAUGCCUGCUGAAACUGCCUCCUUGAGUCUGAAGGGGACCAGCGGAAACUUUGGGGAACAUAUUUUCGAGAGGCCAAGGCUCAAAUUGCCUGCCCAGGAACACAGUCAAGGAAGUGCUUUGGUCUAUUCUAGGCUUGUGGUCCAACACCAGAGACAGCUUCCUUGUAAACUCGAAGAGGUUGAUCAUGGGUCUAUUAUUUGCAUAGUGUAUCUUUGCAUCUGCAUUCACUUAAUAUCCAAAUGCUUAGAAAACUGCCAGCCAGUUUUGUGGCUCUAACAAGGCAGUGUCUUGUUCUUUGAACGCCUCCGAGUUAAAAACAGUUUAUAUGUGC